UACGAAGGGGGCUAGCGUUGCUCGGAAUCACUGGGCGUAAAGCGCACGUAGGCGGACUCUUAAGUCGGUGGUGAAAUCCUGGAGCUCAACUCCAGAACUGCCUUCGAUACUGAGAGUCUUUGAGUCCGGGAGAGGUGAGUGGAACUGCGAGUGUAGAGGUGAAAUUCGUAGAUAUCGGAGGAACACCAGUGGCGAAGGCGGCUCACUGGUCCACAACUGGACGCUGAGGUGGCGAAAAGCGUGGGGAGCAAACAGG
rnacentral:rRNA from 1 species